rnacentral:rRNA from 1 species
UGAGGAAUAUUGGUCAAUGGGCGCAACCCUGAACCAGCCAUCCCGCUUGCAGGAAGACGGCCCUAUGGGUUUUAAACUCCUUUUCCAGGGGAAGAAUUUUUCUUUCGUGACAGGAAUUGACGUUACCCUGGGAAUAAGCAUCGCCUAACUCCGUGCCACCAGCCGCGGUAAUACGGAGGAUGCGAGCUUUAUCCGGAUUUAUUGGGUUUAAAGGGUGCGUAGGCGGAUUGAUAAGUCAGUGGUGAAAACCUGCAGCUUAACUGUAGACUUGACGUUGAUACUGUCAGUCUUGAGUGUGGUCAAGGUAGGCGGAAUGUGUAAUGUAGCGGUGAAAUGCUUAGAUAUUACACAGAACACCGAUUGCGAAGGCAGCUUACUGGGCCAUUACUGACGCUGAUGCACGAAAGCGUGGGGAUCGAACAG